AGAAGAAGAAGAAGAAGAAGAAGUUUGUACUUAAUUUAAAUCAAAAGAAAGUGAGGGUUUUUGUUGAUAACAUACUGCUUGGUGCAAAACAAUUAUUUUCCUUGAACAAUAGCAAUGAGUGGCUCUUCGGGUUUGAUUGAAAAUCAUAUAAAUUGUGUAGAUCAUUCCUAAGUGUGUGUUUAGUUGCUAUGCUACAGAGAAAAAUAUUUCCCAUUUUGUAUGUUAAAAUUAAGUAUUUUAUUUGUAAUCAAAUCUCAUUUUUUAUCAGAAACUGAACCUGUAACAGUGUUUCUCGCAGUGAUACUUAUCUGUCGUUAAAGCUGCAGUGAGACCAAAAAAAUCACAAAAGAAGAAACUGAAACAGUUUGAAUGUUUGAAUUGGAUGGUAUUCGUUAACUGCACAGGCAGACCUGCUGCAUGUAGAAGCUGGCUUGUCGGAGGAGCAGAGGGAGGGACAAGGCAUAUAUCGGAACCUGAGCUCUAAAUAUCUCCUACUCCUUACUGAUUGUCUUCUCCAGUCACAUCGCUUUGCCAAGGCCUUCAAUUCAAAUCAUGAACAACGUAACCUACUCUGGAAAGCAGGUUUCAGAGGUAAUGCGAAACCAAACCUUUUGAAGCAGGAGACUUCGGAUCCUGUUCAAAAUGUACGGUGAUGAAACGAGGCAGGACGCGUGGCCGACCAUCCAGCAGCGCCUUAUUGCGGUAUGUCGCGAAGCAUCAGAGUACUUUCUGUGCCUCCAAUCUGAGGCUCACCGUGAUGCCUGGACUUGCCUUCUCCUCCUGGUCCUUACAAGGAUAUUCAGGAUGUCUGAUGAAAGGAUGGGGGUGAGUGGUCAGCAUCACACCCCAGCCACACUUUACUUCCAGGAAAGGUACCCCUGACACUCAUUGGAUAGGAGGCUGGGUGGACCUCAGAGCUGGUCUGGAUGCAGAGGCUGAAAUAGAAUUCCUGUGCCUCUGCUGAGCAUUGAACCCCAAUCAUCUAGUCUCUAUUCCUGAGCUACCCUGGCUCCCAUAUUUUAUAGAAUAUUCUAUUUUAUUAUGUCGUUGAAUGUAAAGUAUUUGUAUCACUUUAAUUUUUGUGGUUUUGUGGCACCCAACCCGGUUCCAUAUCUGUUGCAGUUGCUGUUGUUGUGACUAGUGGGUUUGAUGAUUUCACCUUUUAUCAUGUGGAAUCCCUGUAAAGGACACUAUGUUUUUUUUUUAUCAGGCGUUUCAAAACAAUUAAGUUCAUUACAAUCCCACAGAGCAGUUACAGUGACAGAUGUUUAGAAUCUGUACAAUUUCUGUAGAACUGUUUCAUAGACUAGAGCAGCCGCAUUUAUUUGGCCUCGUAGCUCUGGCAAGGACUGGCAUUGGUGGUCUGUGGAUGCACAAACUGAUAAUAAAGAGGAUUAAUACAUGACAUUUCGGACACUCCCAGUUUACGUAUAUUUGUGCCUAAAUUAGGCCAACUUAAUAUUAGUAGGUAAUGAAAUAUUUACGAAACAGUUAGUGAUUAUGCAACAGAAUUUUUACAAAAUGGAAGGUGUUUUCAAGUAGUAAACAUUUGUAGUGUUGCAGAGUAUACAAAAGUUGCAGAGAUUAUGUUUAUGCCAUACACUGUCCUGUCCUACAUUAUCUCGUUAGAGAUUACAAUUCAUAAUAAAAGUAACCUUCCGUAGUUGGUUAGACAGUUUAGUAAUUCACUUCAUUCAACAAACUUUCUGUUGAUAUUAUUAUGGCAACAUAAUUCAGCACUUUAUGUCGGGUGGUGAAGCCAGGGGUAGAAUAAUUUGUAUGAUCACCGAUAGUUGGCAGCUUGGGGAAUGACAUCAAUCUUUUCUGACUCAUACAUCAAAUAGUUAAUAUGACCACUCACAGAAUGCAGCAUUAAUAGUUCACUUGAUCAUUCAUAGAUGGUAGUGUGGAAUGCGAUAACUAUAUUGUGCAUCAAGAGUUAAUUAAGUCCAUGUGACAUACGCAGCCUUGGAAAUGGCUUGCUGUACUAGUAGCAGACGGAAAAAUAAUGUGCUUGUUCUAAUUUGAUUUAAACUUUCCCGGUAAUGCUUACAUCACUGGAAGUUAUGAAAUAGUAAAAACAAAGCAAAUAGAUUAAUAAUUAUGCAGUGGAACCUCGACAUACAGCUCCUUGUUAUAGAGCGAACUCAGAUAUACCACAUCUGUGAUUACAUGUGUUUUACGUCAAAAACUUUCUCUACAGUUAUGUAAUUUUUCAUAAUCUAAUUGUUGUUAUUUUGUUAUAUUCUUCUCUUGUGUUGUAUCUGUAGUUAGCCGUCUGGCUGUUGAUGCAACACACUAAUAAUAAAGAACUGUAUUAUUAUUAGAUUGUAGUAUACAAAGUGUUA